UGGGGAAUAUUGGACAAUGGGGGCAACCCUGAUCCAGCAAUGCCGCGUGUGUGAAGAAGGUCUUCGGAUUGUAAAGCACUUUCGACGGGGACGAUGAUGACGGUACCCGUAGAAGAAGCCCCGGCUAACUUCGUGCCAGCAGCCGCGGUAAUACGAAGGGGGCUAGCGUUGCUCGGAAUGACUGGGCGUAAAGGGCGUGUAGGCGGUUUACACAGUCAGAUGUGAAAUCCCCGGGCUUAACCUGGGAGCUGCAUUUGAUACGUGUAGACUAGAGUGUGAGANANUNGUGGAUUGU
rnacentral:rRNA from 1 species